UACGUAGGGCGCGAGCGUUGUCCGGAAUCAUUGGGCGUAAAGAGCUCGUAGGCGGCCGGUUGCGUCUGCUGUGAAAUCCCGGGGCUUAACCCCGGGCGUGCAGUGGAUACGGGCUGGCUGGAGGCAGGCAGGGGAGAAUGGAAUUCCCGGUGUAGCGGUGAAAUGCGCAGAUAUCAGGAGGAACACCGGUGGCGAAGGCGGGUCUCUGGGCCGUAACUGACGCUGAGGAGCGAAAGCAUGGGGAGCGAACAGG
rnacentral:rRNA from 1 species